GGAAUCUUCCACAAUGGACGAAAGUCUGAUGGAGCAACGCCGCGUGUGUGAUGAAGGCUUUCGGGUCGUAAAGCACUGUUGUAUGGGAAGAACAGCUAGAAUAGGAAAUGAUUUUAGUUUGACGGUACCAUACCAGAAAGGGACGGCUAAAUACGUGCCAG
rnacentral:rRNA from 1 species